AUUGAACGCUGGCGGCAGGCCUAACACAUGCAAGUCGAGCGGAUGAAGGGAGCUUGCUCCUGGAUUCAGCGGCGGACGGGUGAGUAACGCCUAGGAAUCUGCCUGGUAGUGGGGGACAACGUUUCGAAAGGAACGCUAAUACCGCAUACGUCCUACGGGAGAAAGCAGGGGACCUUCGGGCCUUGCGCUAUCAGAUGAGCCUAGGUCGGAUUAGCUAGUUGGUGAGGUAAUGGCUCACCAAGGCGACGAUCCGUAACUGGUCUGAGAGGAUGAUCAGUCACACUGGAACUGAGACACGGUCCAGACUCCUACGGGAGGCAGCAGUGGGGAAUAUUGGACAAUGGGCGAAAGCCUGAUCCAGCCAUGCCGCGUGUGUGAAGAAGGUCUUCGGAUUGUAAAGCACUUUAAGUUGGGAGGAAGGGUUGUAGAUUAAUACUCUGCAAUUUCGACGUUACCGACAGAAUAAGCACCGGCUAACUCUGUGCCAGCCGCCGCUGUAAAAC
rnacentral:rRNA from 1 species